UUUACAGAACCAGUUCUGUAAUAUGAAACUUUCGGUAAUUAAUCAAUCUGACGUCUUAUUCUUACCGAGUUCUGUAAAUAGUUUCGCAAUUUACCGAAGUUUGUUAAUUUUUGAGUAAACAAAUCAGUUUGCCGUAAUUUUUCGGUGAAAUAGCACCGAAAACCGUAAAACGAGACUGAAGCAGCGGGGCUGCCAGGACAAACGUCAAACUUUGUUUGUCAUUUUACUGGCAGUUGUACAUUCUCUCUCUCACUCUUGCUACCGUAAUUAUUUGUUUCGAAUUUGUUACGUGUGCUCGAGCGGGAUGAACCAAGCAGUCGUCGCAUUUUUUUUUUUCAAAGACGGUUUCGUAAGUUUCGUGUGUUGUGAACUUUUCCUUUUUUUCAAUUUUGGUGCCGUAUAAAGACCUAAUUUUGUUUGACCAAAAUGGAAAAAAGAUCUAAGUUUACAGGUUUUUACAUCUAAAUUUUUAUGGCAAAGCAUAAUAUUAGGUCAAAUCGUUCAAUUAUCUUGAGUUCAUAAUUAUUGUUUCACAAGGAGCUGUAGCUUCAUCAUUGCCGUGCUUCAGUUGCUCGAAAUCCAAGUGAACAGUGGCACUGCUUGAUAAAAAAAAGAAAUUCGAGCAGUUUCCAGGCGAGAAGUGAGAAGAUAGCAGGCGCUGAACUGUCGGAAAAGUUUUGUUUACAUUCGUGACCAUAGUCGGUGAAUCGUAUGGAGUGAAUUAAAAAUUUGAAAAUUGGUAGGAUUAACUAUUAACCCGUAAAGUACAAAGACCUCAGCUUAGCGCCUAGUUUUUGCUUUUUAUGAUGACGAUGGUGUCAAAAUUAUCUUCGACUUCACGAGAAAAUCUUUUAAACCAGGUUUGUUUGCGCUCUGUGCUGCUCGCGGAAUGCUGAUAUUUUGUAAUCCAACAAAGGGACCGGUUCUGCACGAAUGUAUGCUGAUCCGAAAUAAGAUAUGUUAUCCCAUCCUAGCUCAAGACCUGGCGCAGUGCCAUUUGUACCGAAAAACCCCAGGUUAACUUUUACUUUCUCAACUUAAAUCGGACAUGUACAAACAAACCCACUCAAAAAACAAGAGUUCCUCCGGACGUGUAACGUGUAACGUCCUUGCAGCCAAAUAGAUUCUAAGAUCAACAACCAGCAACACCAGCCAGAGUACGUUCAGAUUAGAGCGUAAUAUGAAAAAGAGAACAGCAAUCGGUAAACACGAGUCGGUUAAACAAUCGAUUGAACAUCAUAUGUCGCCGAAAUCAUUUUUGACGACUAAGGUGAAAAUGACGGACCAUAGAAUCUUUAUCUCUGACGUGAUGCAGAUAUUUUUUCAAUUUUUUCCUAUUUCGGUCGGUUAUGCGUAUGACCAUUUAACCAUAAAUUUCCAUGGCGGUAGCCGCUGUGGCCAAGAUACGAUAGAGGCAGAAUGAUUAUGGAAACCGUUCGUUGAUUUUUUUUACUCAACAUAAUCCAGAAGCAAAAGCAGUAAAACGUCGACUUCCGGAGUUAAAAAAAUCUGAUAUUUCGCUGGGUCGAAGUGCGUUUGGCGCUGGUCACAAUCGAUUUGAUCAUGUAAGGUGAGCAAUUAUCCUG